CUCCCCUCCAGAACCAACUAAGCACAAGCCUACAAACAAUAAAUAAAUCUAUUCUUCUCUUUCUUUCUCUCUUUCCGUGUCUAUUAUAAAGUUUCCUACAGUUUGAUUCUCUCUCUCUCGUUCAUUUUGCUUAUUCUUUACGAGAAAUUAACCAGAUUGUUUUCUGAAUCAACGUUUUCAAGAGCAAUGCAUGUUGCUGAAGAAUUUGAUGGCAGACAAGCAACUGGAUUUUAAUCAACCAUUUCCAUCUGUGAGGCGGUUAUCAUCAACGGUGACCACCUCAGAAGCUGAGGUUAAAAGGAAAACAGUCAAUACUGUUCCCAAAAUACCUGCUCUCCCUGCUUACAAGUUAGAGUUGAAAUCAGGUCCAAUCAGGAACCCAGGAACUGUUCCUUUUGUGUGGGAGCAAAUGCCAGGAAGGCCUAAGAAUGAUAGCAAAUCACAAACUCAAUCUCCUGAGCAACCUCCCAUUGUUCCAAAGCUUCCACCUGGAAGGAUUUUGAAUGUUAAACAGCAGCCUUUGGGCAAAGCUCGUGAAGGUACUAACAGUAAAUGGUCCCAGACUGGAAAUGUUCGAACCAGUUCUAAAAGUGUUCCACCUGCUAGCAAAAAUGCAAUUAAAUGUGAGAGUUCUAAAGAGGAGAUCGGAGAGACAGAACGCUGUACCACAGAGGAUGGUGAUGAGGCUUUCGUGGAUGCACUCGAUACACUUUCCCUCACUGAAUCAUUCUUCUUGAACUGUAGCGUUAGUGGUGUGAGUGGGUUAGAUGAUGCAGAAAUGAAACCUACAGGAACAUUCACAACUGAUCCACAGACUCGGGAUUUCAUGAUGGGUCAAUUUUUGCCUGCAGCAAAGGCAAUUGCUUCAGAAAUACCACAUUAUACUGCUAGAAAGCAACCUGUCGUGUGUGAACACCCAAGGCAGAUAAAAAAGAUUGUCAAUAUUGAUAAAAGACAACCUCCCAAACAAUACAGUUCAGACAAUCUACAUUAUCAUGCUCGACAUGAGAGGUGGGAAGAAAGUGAGGAUGAAGAUGAUCAUGAUGUACCUGAAGGCUCGUCAGCUGCAAUUUGUGGGUUACUUCCUCGAUUUUGCUUGAAAAGUUCCUUUUGCCUUAUGAAUCCAGUGCCUGGGAUGAGGCUGCAGGAGCGGGAACCUAUUUCUUUGGGCCAUCAAAGAGCACAAGCUAGUUCUCGCCAUGGGACUGAGCAUGAGAAGGUGAGAGUUGUGGAAAAUGAGCAGAGUUUCUCAGUUGGAUCUCUAAGAGCAGAGACACAAGAAACUAAACUUAACCUGAAAACUAAGGCCAGCCAAGUAGCUUAUGGAGAUGAAGGUCACAAACUAGAUGAAUCAUCUCUGUACAGGCGUUUGCAGGCUAAGGUUGUACAACCUGACCAAAUUGCAAACUGCCAGUCUGCCGUAAGUAAUGAAAAAAGGUUUCUUGAGAUUCUUGAAAAUGCCAAGAACUUAAUGCUGAACAAUCCUGAUCCACAGAGACAAAGUAUCAAGAAUUUCAAAGAACUAUUGGUCACUGAGAGCACUAAUUGGGAAUCAGGCUUAAAAUGUCAUGUUGAGAAAACUUUGUACAUAGAUUCUGUACAUAAGGUGAAAUCUCCAAGUUCAAAUUCCAGUUCUUCACAUUCAAAGAGGCUAAUUGAUGGCAGAGGAGACAAUUUAAAUGUUCCUGUAAGAGGUACCGAAACGGAAGAAGCAGCUUCUAUAGGUUCAUCCCUUCAUGAUGUCAAGCAGUUGCAUACUGUGGAUGAGAGGACAAUAUUGGAACCUAAAAUUAUGGAGUUUAUUCAUUGCAAAAAUCUAUCUUCUCUUGACACAGCUGCACUGGGUUUGCAAAUUGAUGUAAAAGAUAGUUCCACUGAGGAUCAAGUUCUCUAUAACAAUUUGAUUAAUCUGACCAGCACAAAAGUGACUGGAAGUGAGAAGUUUGAUCUGGCUCUACAAAAUGAACAGCAAGGGAAAUUAAGCAAUCAAGAUUCUCAUGGAGUUGUCCAAGAUUCUACUUUAUCAACUAGGCAAAAAAUGGAUGAUGAUGGAAAAAAUGACACUCAAAGUCGAACAUUAAGUACCGAGGAAGCAUCUCACGGCCUCUAUUUACAACUUCCUCUUCCCUUGCCUCCACCUAAAUCUCCAUCUGACUCUUGGCUGAAGCAUACGUUGCCUACUGUAUCCGCAAGGAAAUCAUCUAGUUUUUCUUUGCUUGGUACACUUAAUUGUACAAGAGUUCAAGGUUCCAAGUCUCCCUCGGUUGAUCCCAAGUGGGAAACUAUUGUCAAAACCUCUAAUGUACACCGUGGACAUUUAUGUUUCUCUGAGGAAUUGCUUACACCUAUUCCAGAAGCAUAGAACAAUAGAAGCCUUAAGCCUACGGAAUUGUGUAUACGCUUGGUUGUGAAGUCCAUAAUUUAAGUGGCUUCAAAGGUCCUCAAUACACUUUAUCAUCUCCUCGAAAAAUUGUCUCCUCAAAGUCCAAGAUGCUCCUUCCUAUACUCAGUAUACAACGGGAAGCAGAAGUUCAUGUGUAAGUUAUCUUCUACAUGUCAAUAAGCAUUUUGGAUAUUUUAUUGGGAAGUGCUUUGUUGUUGUCUCUACUGGCAAAGGUGAGAGAUCGACACAUGAGAAGUUUGUGACCUUGUAACAGUAUUUUGCUAGAAGGGGACUUGAGUUUGUAAUAAUGUCAUCAGGGUAGUAUUGCCCAUUUAAUAGAUAAAGGUGCUGAUGAUAUUAGUCAGAGCUUCAAUGACAUCAUUCAACCGAUUCUUAUCA